rnacentral:rRNA from 1 species
UACAGAGGGUGCAAGCGUUAAUCGGAAUUACUGGGCGUAAAGCGUGCGUAGUCGGCCAUUUAAGUCGGGUGUGAAAUCCCCGGGCUCAACCUGGGAAUUGCAUUCGAUACUGGAUGGCUAGAGUUCGGCAGAGGGAAGCGGAAUUUCCGGUGUAGCGGUGAAAUGCGUAGAUAUCGGAAGGAACAUCAGUGGCGAAAGCGACUUCCUGGACCAAUACUGACGCUCAUGUGCGAAAGCGUGGGGAGCAAACAGG